AUAAAAUAGUCCACGUACAACGGAUACAGUUCUCACAUGAAACAAACAGAAAGUUUAUGCAAAUUGGGCUCCUUUGUAUUUGCUGGAUUAAAAUAUUGCGGGAAUUAGUUGUGUGUCAGAUAUCCACUUGAUUUUACACUAGAAUUUGUUGUACGGCUUAUCUGUGGUGGUUUGUUGCUGUAUAUAGUUGGAUAGUUUUUCUUUUAACAUUAUUAGUCACAUUUAAAUCUUGCGCGGACAAAAAGGUGUAUAUUUUGAAGAAACAAUGAUGAAUUUAAAUAUUAUUUGGUUUAUAUAUAAAAGAUUUUAUUAUAAAUAAACCGUAUAUCAUCCCAAAACUAAGAAUAAUAUUUAUUUGACAUUCAAACCCUAUCACGUAUCGGUUAUCUCUCAGACAACGUCAGAUCAUUGUUUAAUUAUUUCUCAUGCAUUUAAAAACUCAUACUUUCAAGAAUAAUUUUAUAAUUAAAUAUAUUACGCAUUCAAAAUAUGCUAGGAUACUUUUUGCAACCUCUUCAAUCAUAAUCAUUAUUAUUUACGUAAAUCAUAACGAAUUAUGCACCUAAACCUUACAGAAUCACGCUAUGUUAUUGUAAAAACGUUUCUGUUUACAAUUUAUCGCAUACAUACCGGUGAAUUCAAUUUAUAACAAGGUAUAAGUUUAUCAAUAUCAAAAUAAACCAUUAAGCUAAUACCAGAAACAAAAGUUCAAGGUUUCGUUUCUUAAAACAGAUACAAGUAGUCUGAUACUUUAUCGUCAGUUAUACAUUUGAGCAAGAUGAAUUACGUUGUGUUUGUUUUACUCGUGAUAUUUAGUGCAAAUGUGCAAUCUAAAACAUAUACAAAUGACCAAACAAUUGGUUUUAAUUUCGAAACAUCACAAGAAGAGGAAACUGUUCGUCUAAGUCGUUCAAAAAGAGAUGAUGACUAUUCUGAUGAGGGAGGCUUUGUGGCAGCGCCUGGACAUAGUGGUGAUGACGAUUUUAUAGCGAAUAUACGGGAUUGUGCCGAUGGGAGUACUCGAGCUCCAUGGGGAAAGUGUAUUUCGUGUACAGAAUAUAAAAGAAAAUUCAGAAGAAUUGGUAUGGGCUGCUGAAAGAUAAAUAUAAGUUAAGCAUUUUCA